rnacentral:rRNA from 1 species
GAUGAACGCUGGCGGCGUGCUUAACACAUGCAAGUCGAACGAAGCACUUUAUUUGAUUUCCUUCGGGACUGAUUAUUUUGUGACUGAGUGGCGGACGGGUGAGUAACGCGUGGGUAACCUGCCUUGUACAGGGGGAUAACAGUUGGAAACGGCUGCUAAUACCGCAUAAGCGCACAGCAUCGCAUGAUGCAGUGUGAAAAACUCCGGUGGUAUAAGAUGGACCCGCGUUGGAUUAGCUAGUUGGUGAGGUAACGGCCCACCAAGGCGACGAUCCAUAGCCGACCUGAGAAGGUGACCGGCCACAUUGGGACUGAGACACGGCCCAAACUCCUACGGGAGGCAGCAGUGGGGAAUAUUGCACAAUGGGCGAAAGCCUGAUGCAGCGACGCCGCGUGAGCGAAGAAGUAUUUCGGUAUGUAAAGCUCUAUCAGCAGGGAAGAUAAUGACGGUACCUGACUAAGAAGCACCGGCUAAAUACGUG